CCACCCUACGGGGGGCAGCAGUGAGGAAUAUUGGUCAAUGGGCUUACGCCUGAACCGGCCAAGUCGCGUGAGGGAAGACUGCCCUAUGGGUUGUAAACCUCUUUUGUCAGGGAGCAAUUGGCGCUACGUGUAGCGUUAUCGAGAGUACCUGAAGAAAAAGCAUCGGCUAACUCCGUGCCAGCAGCCGCGGUAAUACGGAGGAUGCGAGCGUUAUCCGGAUUUAUUGGGUGUAAAGGGUGCGUAGACGGGUAUAUAAGUUAGUUGUGAAAUCCCUCAGCUCAACUGCCGAACUGCUCUGGAAACUG
rnacentral:rRNA from 1 species